AGAGUUUGAUCAUGGCUCAGAUUGAACGCUGGCGGCAUUCCUUACACAUGCAAGUCGAACGGUAACAGGUCUUCGGACGCUGACGAGUGGCGAACGGGUGAGUAAUACAUCGGAACGUGCCCAGUCGUGGGGGAUAACUACUCGAAAGAGUAGCUAAUACCGCAUACGAUCUGAGGAUGAAAGCGGGGGACCUUCGGGCCUCGCGCGAUUGGAGCGGCCGAUGGCAGAUUAGGUAGUUGGUGGGAUAAAAGCUUACCAAGCCGACGAUCUGUAGCUGGUCUGAGAGGACGACCAGCCACACUGGGACUGAGACACGGCCCAGACUCCUACAGGAGGCAGCAGUGGGGAAUUUUGGACAAUGGGCGAAAGCCUGAUCCAGCAAUGCCGCGUGCAGGAUGAAGGCCUUCGGGUCGUAAACUGCUUUUGUACGGAACGAAAAAGCUUCUCCUAAUACGAGAGGCCCAUGGCGGUACCGUAAGAAUAAGCACCGGCUAACUACGUGCCAGCAGCCGCGGUAAUACGUAGGGUGCGAGCGUUAAUCGGAAUUACUGGGCGUAAAGCGUGCGCAGGCGGUUAUGUAAGACAGAUGUGAAAUCCCCGGGCUCAACCUGGGAACUGCAUUUGUGACUGCAUGGCUAGAGUACGGUAGAGGGGGAUGGAAUUCCGCGUGUAGCAGUGAAAUGCGUAGAUAUGCGGAGGAACACCGAUGGCGAAGGCAAUCCCCUGGACCUGUACUGACGCUCAUGCACGAAAGCGUGGGGAGCAAACAGGAUUAGAUACCCUGGUAGUCC
rnacentral:rRNA from 1 species